rnacentral:rRNA from 1 species
UACGGGGGGGGCAAGCGUUGUUCGGAAUUACUGGGCGUAAAGGGCUCGUAGGCGGCCAACUAAGUCAGACGUGAAAUCCCUCGGCUUAACCGGGGAACUGCGUCUGAUACUGGAUGGCUUGAGUGUGGGAGAGGGAUGCGGAAUUCCAGGUGUAGCGGUGAAAUGCGUAGAUAUCUGGAGGAACACCGGUGGCGAAGGCGGCAUCCUGGACCACGACUGACGCUGAGGAGCGGAAGCCAGGGGAGCAAACGGG